GAGCUGAGUCACCAGCAGGAGGACUUUGCAGGAGUGUCGUUGGUCUCCUGUGAGAAGCCUUUAGUUCUUCCAGACCUUACUUUCCCCAGGUGUCCUCUCUCAUUCUCAGGAGCUCUGAGGAGGCAGACACACAUAGAGAGCUUUGGACCCUGCCAGAAUACCUGCCAUCUCAGAUUAGCAUUAACUGGAAGUGGAAAGAAGACAGAAGUAGAGGAGUGUUGGAGAGAAACUGAGUUGAUUUUGUACACGCCGUGCCAGCCAGUGUUAG